AUUUUAUGGAGAGUUUGAUCCUGGCUCAGGGUGAACGCUGGCGGCGUGCUUAAGACAUGCAAGUCGAACGGCCUUCUUCGGAAGGCAGUGGCGCACGGGUGAGUAACGCGUAACUGACCUACCCUCAAGUCUGGAAUAACGGGUCGAAAGAUCCGCUAAUACUGGAUGUGCAGUGUCGCUGUGGCGACACUGUAAAGAU
rnacentral:rRNA from 1 species